CUGGCGGCUGCGGCGGCCCAGAUCCAUCCUCAAGCUAGGCAAAGUCAGAAAAUCUCCGAUGGCUCCUGACUGUCAUGUCGUCGGCGGCGCGGUUUGAGGCAGACCAAAUCAGAUCUCCUCGGCUACUAUGCUCCACCCCGCAGUGUGCUCGUACAGGCUCGCAACCUCUCAUCUGAAUCUUCGUUAGCUGUCGAUGGAUGAUGCUCUGACAAUGGGAAACAUCAGGACUACAGAUGGACAAAAGAAGAUUUUCUCAAAGUCUUCCCUUCCUUAAGAUUGCAAGAACUUCUCAGCAUACGCCUAAACCUGUCUUGUGUCCAACCGAAUCAUGUUUGUUUGGUUUGAUCUCUCCCAGCACAUGAAGCUUGGUGAGCAAGAAGCAGUUCUAGGGAAAGGCUAGAGCUUUUCUGUCAUGUACCAUCAAUAUAGUAAAGCUGGUCUUUUUUAAAAUAGCAAUGCCAGUUGAAUAGUGAUUGUAUUAGUCCCUAAUAGUGUCUUGCUUGCCGUGUACUAAAAAUGGUGCUACCAUGUAUCAUCAAGAUAUAUACGAAUGUAUGUCUUUUAUGUUAGUCCAGACCGCGGACUAACAUUUAGUUAUGCUUAAAA